rnacentral:rRNA from 1 species
GACGAACGCUGGCGGCGUGCUUAACACAUGCAAGUCGAACGGAAAGGCUCCAGCUUGCUGGAGUACUCGAGUGGCGAACGGGUGAGUAACACGUGGGUAAUCUGCCCUGCACUCUGGGAUAAGCCUGGGAAACUGGGUCUAAUACUGGAUAUGACCUUUCUCCUUAUGGGGUUUGGUGGAAAGUUUUUCGGUGUAGGAUGAGCCCGCGGCCUAUCAGCUUGUUGGUGGGGUGAUGGCCUACCAAGGCGACGACGGGUAGCCGGCCUGAGAGGGUGAUCGGCCACAUUGGGACUGAGAUACGGCCCAGACUCCUACGGGAGGCAGCAGUGGGGAAUAUUGCACAAUGGGCGGAAGCCUGAUGCAGCGACGCCGCGUGAGGGAUGACGGCCUUCGGGUUGUAAACCUCUUUCAGCAGGGACGAAGCGUAAGUGACGGUACCUGCAGAAGAAGCACCGGCCAACUAUGU